CCUACGGGAGGCUGCAGUGAGGAAUAUUGGUCAAUGGCCGGAAGGCUGAACCAGCCAUGCCGCGUGAAGGUCAGUGCCCUAUGGGCGUUAAACUUCUUUUGUGCGGGAGCAAUAAUGGUCACGUGUGGCCAGACGAGAGUACCGUACGAAUAAGCAUCGGCUAACUCCGUGCCAGCAGCCGCGGUAAUACGGGGGAUGCAAGCGUUAUCCGGAUUUAUUGGGUUUAAAGGGUGCGUAGGCUGGGAGGUAAGUCAGCGGUGAAAUGCCCCCGCUCAACGGGGUGAAGUGCCAUUGAUACUGCCUGGCUGGAAUGCGGAUGCGGUGGGAGGAAUGUGUGGUGUAGCGGUGAAAUGCAUAGAUAUCACACAGAACACCGAUUGCGAAGGCAUCUCACGAAUCCGCGAUUGACGCUGAUGCACGAAAGCGUGGGUAUCAAACAGGAUUAGAGACCCUUGUAGUC
rnacentral:rRNA from 1 species